AGUGGAAUAGCUGGAUGGUGGUUCGAAGUUCACUUUCUAAGGACCUGUAGGACUGUUUUCCACAGUGACUGCACCAGGUCACCUUCUCAGCAGCAAU
rnacentral:pre_miRNA from 1 species